CGGCGGUUAUGGCGGGAAGGAAACACCCGGUUACAUUCCGAACCCGGAAGUUAAGCUUCUCUGCGCCGAUGGUACUGCACUCGGGAGGGUGUGGGAGAGUAGGUCACCGCCGGAC
rnacentral:rRNA from 1 species